UACGUAGGGGGCUAGCGUUGUCCGGAAUCAUUGGGCGUAAAGCGCGUGUAGGCGGCCCGGUAAGUCCGCUGUGAAAGUCGGGGGGCUCAACCCUCGGAUGCCGGUGGAUACUGUCGGGCUUGAGUACGGAAGAGGCGAGUGGAAUUCCUGGUGUAGCGGUGAAAUGCGCAGAUAUCAGGAGGAACACCUAUUGCGAAGGCAGCUCGCUGGGACGUGACUGACGCUGAGACGCGAAAGCGUGGGUAGCAAACAGG
rnacentral:rRNA from 1 species